rnacentral:rRNA from 1 species
GAUGAACGCUGGCGGCGUGCCUAAUACAUGCAAGUCGAGCGAAUGGACGAGAAGCUUGCUUCUCUGAUGUUAGCGGCGGACGGGUGAGUAACACGUGGAUAACCUACCUAUAAGACUGGGAUAACUUCGGGAAACCGUAGCUAAUACCGGAUAAUAUUUUGAACCGCAUGGUUCAAAAGUGAAAGACGGUCUUGCUGUCACUUAUAGAUGGAUCCGCGCUGCAUUAGCUAGUUGGUAAGGUAACGGCUUACCAAGGCAACGAUGCAUAGCCGACCUGAGAGGGUGAUCGGCCACACUGGAACUGAGACACGGUCCAGACUCCUACGGGAGGCAGCAGUAGGGAAUCUUCCGCAAUGGGCGAAAGCCUGACGGAGCAACGCCGCGUGAGUGAUGAAGGUCUUCGGAUCGUAAAACUCUGUUAUUAGGGAAGAACAUAUGUGUAAGUAACUGUGCACAUCUUGACGGUACCUAAUCAGAAAGCCACGGCUAACUACGUG